rfam:Schistosoma curassoni strain Dakar, Senegal genome assembly, scaffold: SCTD_scaffold0000024
AUUCAGCUGACGAGUCCCAAAUAGGACAAAGUAGCGUGCGUCCUGGAU